rnacentral:rRNA from 1 species
UACGGAGGGGGCAAGCGUUACUCGGAAUUACUGGGCGUAAAGCGUGCGCAGGCGGCUAUGCAAGACAGAUGUGAAAUCCCCGGGCUCAACCUGGGAACUGCAUUUGUGACUGCAUAGCUAGAGUACGGUAGAGGGGGAUGGAAUUCCGCGUGUAGCAGUGAAAUGCGUAGAUAUGCGGAGGAACACCGAUGGCGAAGGCAAUCCCCUGGACCUGUACUGACGCUCAUGCACGAAAGCGUGGGGAGCAAACAGG